CGGGUUGUAAACCGCUUUUGGCAGGAACGAAACGGUGCGCGCCAAUAUCGCGUACUAAUGACGGUACCUGCAGAAUAAGCACCGGCUAACUACGUGC
rnacentral:rRNA from 1 species